rnacentral:lncRNA from 1 species
UUUUUAAGGUGGUACCCAACACUUUCACUAAAUUUAAUUUGGCUCGUUUAAUUUUCAAAAAAAUUUGACAAAGUAUUUACUUUGACCCUUAAACAAAAAUAUAAAAAUUUCAAAAAUUUUGAACCAACCGUUUUGUCAGAAAAAUUACACUGGUUAUAUAGCAGUUUGACAAACACCAAUUUUGAUCAUUGAGAAGCUUAAUAUUCCAUUUACAACACAACGUAAUGAAAACGUUUAGCUGACUUUACAGAGUUAUCUCCCUGUUGUGUUAGGUAGCACCUUAA